rnacentral:rRNA from 1 species
CGCACGGGUGAGUAACACGUGAAUUAUCUACCUCUGAGUGGGGAAUAACUGAGAGAAAUCUUAGCUAAUACCGCAUAACACUUACGAGUCAAAGCAGCAAUGCGCUUGGAGAGGAGUUCGCGGCCGAUUAGUUAGUUGGCGGGGUAAUGGCCCACCAAGACGAUGAUCGGUAUCCGGCCUGAGAGGGCGCACGGACACACUGGAACUGAAACACGGUCCAG